GGGUGAGCUAACAGGACUCGUUCUUCCUCUCUUUGCAUUUAAAAAUAUCUGUCUUGCACUGUUUCUGCUUCUGUCAGUUAUUGUCAGCAUCCUAUCCAGAAGAUAUAAUGUAUAGUCUCUAUGCCCUGUGGAAUUUUGGAGAGUGCAUGCUUUCAUCAGAGUCUUCACAAAGUGCUCACAACCGGAGAGAACUCACGGUAAAACUGUAGCUGCGGAGUGCCUCUUACAGAAUGCUUUUAAGGUAUUUUUCAACUUUUCAAGAUCACAGGAGAGUCUUUUGGAAGAUCAAAUGGCAAACAACUUUAAUUGGAAAAUAUAAAAUAGCCCUGUACAUAAAAGUGAACAAAACCCGUUGCAUCAGCAGAGUGGCCCAUAGUCCCAGUCUUAAUAACUGCUUGGCUUGUUGAGGGUCAAAACUCUGGCCAUAAAACAUUCCUCAUGCAACUACAGCUUCCCUCGUGAUAUCUGUUAGGCUCAGUCACAUUGGCUGGUUGCCCUCCCAAGUACACACAGCCCUCCAGCCCAACACAGCCCAGGUGCCAAGCAUCCACACAGCCUUGCCACAGACAAGCUGCUCUUAUCAAGUUAGGCUGACCCAGCCACAUUAGUCUGUUCUUGUCAAGGUUACCAGUACAAGGGAGCUGAAUAAAAAAACUUUUCAAGCCUCCUCUCUUUCA
rnacentral:lncRNA from 1 species